rnacentral:rRNA from 1 species
GACGAACGCUGGCGGCGUGCUUAACACAUGCAAGUCGAACGGUGAAGCGCCUUCCUUUUUGGUGGGUGUGGAUGAGUGGCGAACGGGUGAGUAACACGUGAGUAACCUGCCCCCUUCUUCUGGAUAACCGCAUGAAAGUGUGGCUAAUACGGGAUAUUCUGGGUCUGUCGCAUGAUGGGUCUGGGAAAGAUAUUGUUUCGGUGGGGGAUGGGCUCGCGGCCUAUCAGCUUGUUGGUGGGGUGAUGGCCUACCAAGGCGGUGCCGGGUAGCCGGCCUGAGAGGGUCGACGGUCACACUGGGGCGGCGAGACGGAGACUACUCCUGGAGGAGGCAGCAGGGGGGAAUAUUGCACAGUGGGCGGAAUGCUGAUGCAGCGACGCCGCGGGAGGGAUGGAGGCCGUCGGGUUGUGAACCUCUUUCGCCAGUGAAGCAGGCCUGCCUCGUUUGUGGGUGGGUUGACGGUAGCUGGAGAAGAAGCGCCGGCUAACUACGUG